rfam:Bacteroidetes bacterium TKL13-3, complete genome.
UUGCGCCCGGCAAGCCUGGUACGACCAGCUCCUGCUGAAUCCCCCAGGACAGGAAUGUAGCAAGGGUAGGCGGUUGUAGCGGUGCGAUAUUAUGGCUUGCUUUUUU